rnacentral:rRNA from 1 species
UACGUAGGGUGCGAGCGUUGUCCGGAAUUAUUGGGCGUAAAGGGCUCGUAGGCGGUUUGUCACGUCGGGGAGUGAAAACUCGGGGCUUAACCCCGAGCCUGCUUCCGAUACGGGCUGACUAGAGGUAUGCAGGGGAGAACGGAAUUCCUGGUGUAGCGGUGAAAUGCGCAGAUAUCGGGAAGAACACCUAUGGCGAAGGCAGCUCUCUGGGACGGUACUGACGCUGAGACGCGAAAGCGUGGGGAGCGAACAGG